rnacentral:misc_RNA from 1 species
GGAUCCUACAGCUUUUCCGUGUUAUGAAUCGGAUGUUUGAUAAGCACAAGGAAUCCAGGCGGCGACACAUCUGCAUUCACACCCCUAUUAUUAUACCCGUGUGGUCACAGGUUCGCAUGGUAGAGGAUGAUUUGAUGUACAGCACUUUCCUGGAGGUUUAUGAGAACCAUUGUGCAAGAAAUGACCGAGAAGCCGACUUACCAAUCACAUUUUUCAAGGAGCAACUCAACCAAGCCAUAUCUGGACAGAUCUCACCAGAUGCUGUUGUUGAUCUCCGUCUUCAAGCAUAUAAUGAGAUCACAAAAAGUUUCGUCACAGAAAGCAUAUUCUCACAGUAUAUGUACAAAACACUCGUGAGUGGCAAUCACAUGUGGGCUUUCAAAAAGCAGUUUGCAAUCCAGUUGGCUCUUUCUAGUUUUAUGUCCUUCAUGCUCCAAAUCGGUGGAAGGUCUCCAAACAAGAUUUUAUUUGCUAAAAACACCGGAAAAAUUUUCCAGACUGAUUUCCAUCCUGCUUAUGAUGCAAAUGGAAUGAUUGAAUUUAAUGAACCAGUGCCGUUCCGCCUGACCAGAAAUUUGCAAGCGUUUUUUUCUCAUUUUGGAGUAGAAGGCUUAGUUGUUUCUGCCAUGUGUGCUGCUGCUCAGGCUGUGGUCUCUCCUAAACAAAGCCAGCUCUUAUGGUAUCAUCUGGCGAUGUUUUUCCGAGAUGAGUUGUUAUCUUGGUCUUGGAGAAGACCUCUUGGGAUGCCUCUGGCCACUGUUGUAGGGGCAGGUAAUCUGAAUCCUGUGGACUUCAAACAAAAAGUCACUACAAAUGUUGAGAAUGUCAUUGGGCGGAUCACUGGAAUAGCCCCUCAAUAUAUCUCAGAAGAGGAGGAGAAUGGCAUGGAUCCGCCGCAAUCUGUGCAGAGGGGAGUAGCGGAGUUGGUUGAAGCUGCCCUUACUCCAAGGAACUUGUGCAUGAUGGAUCCGACGUGGCAUCCUUGGUUCUGAUUUAUUAUUUUCUAAUUUAAUUUUCUUGUUAUGUCAACUUUUAGGUGUCUAAUAGUGUAAUCUAACUUUAAUUAGUGACUGUUAGGUGAUGCAAGCUAGAUGGUACUGUAAAUAUUAUUGCUAGCUGCUCAUGUAUAUAAAUGAUAUCCCUUUUGCUGCUGGUUCUUUCCAGGCGCUUAUAGAGGCAAUGUUAG